GAUGAACGCUAGCGGCAGGCUUAAUACAUGCAAGUCGAGGGGCAACAGGGGUAGCAAUACCUGCUGGCGACCGGCAAACGGGUGCGGAACACGUACAGAACCUUCCUUUAAGCGGGGGAUAGCCCAUAGAAAUGUGGAUUAAUACCCCAUAGUAAUGUUGAGUGGCAUCACUUGAUAUUUAAAGAUUUAUCACUUAAAGAUGGCUGUGCGUCUGAUUAGGUAGUUGGUGGGGUAACGGCCCACCAAGCCAACGAUCAGUAACUGGUGUGAGAGCACGACCAGUCACACGGGCACUGAGACACGGGCCCGACUCCUACGGGAGGCAGCAGUAGGGAAUUUUCCACAAUGGGCAAAAGCCUGAUGGAGCAACGCCGCGUGCAGGAUGAAGGCCCUUGGGUCGUAAACUGCUUUUAUGUGCGAAGAUUAUGACAGUAACACAUGAAUAAGGGUCGGCUAACUACGUGCCAGCCGCCGCGGUAAC
rnacentral:rRNA from 1 species